UGCCCUCAAUGAAAGCUGAGACUCCAUUAUAUAGCUAUAAUUGGAAUGUGUUUCAGUAAACAGGUAAAAACAAAAAACUUGUGUCAGUGUCCAAAUAUAUAUGGACCUAACUGUAUUAAACAAAACUGGAUUCUGAAUAACUGAAGUAGAAACACAGAAGCUUUCUUGGUGUGCAGAUUCUGUUCCAGAUACAGCCAAAAUACAGGAUUAGAUGGGUGCUGGGAGAGAAGAUGAGAAGGAGAAGUCAAAUCACUGGAAAUAUAAAGGAAAAUAAGCUGCUUCACGGGGCCAAACACAGUCACUGGUAUCCAGCAAGGAGAAGGGAGGUUGGUCGUUACUGUGGAAUUUACCUAACUUCUCAGGAAACAGAUCCCAGGUUGCAGUGUCCAGAGACUAUGAGUCUUUUUGCAUAACUAACCAUUCCAGCACUCAGUGGCGAUCCUGCUUGCUCGUAAACCUGAGAAUACUUGUCUAAGUUUAUGUUACUGGUCUGCUUGCAGACCUUGCAAAUCCACCUGUACUUUGCUGAU